AUUGAACGCUGGCGGCAGGCCUAACACAUGCAAGUCGAGCGAGCGGCGGACGGGUGAGUAAUGCCUAGGAAUCUGCCUGAUGGAGGGGGAUAACUACUGGAAACGGUAGCUAAUACCGCAUACCAUCGGAUGUGCCCAGAUGGGCUUCGCUUGUUGGUGGGGUAACGGCUCAACAAGGCGAAGGUCCCUAGCUGGUCUGAGAGGAUGACCAGCCAAACUGGAACUGAGACACGGGGCCGACGCCUACGGGAGGCAGCAGGGGGGAAUAUUGCACAAUGGGCGCAAGCCUGAUGCAGCCAUGCCGCGUGUAUGAAGAAGGCCUUCGGGUUGUAAAGUACUUUCAGCGGGGAGGCGUUACCCGCAGAAGAAGCACCGGCUAACUCCGUGCCAGCAGCCGCGGUAAUUC
rnacentral:rRNA from 1 species